rnacentral:lncRNA from 1 species
GUGCGGGCAUUGGGUAGCUUCCAUGGCUGCGUCUUCAUGUCUAAAGAGUUAAAUGAUAGGUGCUGCUCAAUGAACGUGUCGCUAGUGUUUAUGAUAAGAACUUAAAGCUCUUUGUGUACACUUUUCCUACCCCUGAAGUAGGAAGUAUUUCUCUUUGACUGUUGAGGCCUCAUAGAGCUAGCCAAGAAAGUGAUACGGCCAAAUGACAUGAUUAAUUUUCAUUACUUUCUUCCAUCUCUUCAGAUCUCUUGGAGCUUGCUUGGACCUCAGCUUGAUAGGAAAAAAAAAAAAACAGCCAUUGGAAAUUUUUUCUCAAUUUAAACCAACUCUUCUUGUAGCUCAAGAGACAACAUGAUAUAUAGAGAUAGCCUCUGUCUUCAGGGACUUUACCUAGAGCCAAGAAACUCAGAAAUACAUGCCAGAGAGUGUGCACAGGAGUGUGUUAAAUGUGGAAAAGUGAUAGCAGGGCACAGAUGCAGGGUCCCCAGUGAUGCUGGGUCUCUUCCAAAGUACCUGUCAAUCACAUGAUCCUUUCUCUGGUAUCUGGAACAUUGUCAGAAUUUCUAUGAGCUUUGUCCCUUGGGCCUGUGCCCUCUGGAGUACCAAGGCUGGACAUCGCAGUGUCUCACAUCCAGUCUGUUUUCCCUCUGCAGUAUAACUCAGCAUCUCUUAUUCAAUGCUUAGAGCGGAGGUGCUUCAGACCCUGUAGUAAAUGGAUUUUGAAAUAUCUUUGUAGACAUGACAGUUGAGAAUUCAUGGUCCAAAAAUUCUGAGAUCUGUAAACUUUUUGAGUAUCAUGGGCCUUUCAGUUUUUCCAGGCUUGUGGUUUCAAACUUGAAUGCAUCUCUGAAGACAAACCAUGUUCUUAUAUUUGUUAGCUGAAGACCCCCACAGGGGGCCUGUGGCUCUUGAGAAAGCAAUCAACUUUCCAGAAGUUCCAUGGGCUCAUUUAUAACCUCCUUCGUAUUGUAAGUUCAAAUUCCCACAUUUGAGAUUUAGUACAAUUUUAUACAACAGUGGUGUUCUGGGGACUUGGGAUGUAGCUUAGCCAGGAGCGAUGUAACUUAGCAGGAAGCCCUGGAUUGGACCCCAGCACUGUCUCAAAUUAGUAGUUAAAAUCAUGCUCAGCUUCAAAAAUGAAACAAAACGAAACAAAAACCCCUAAUGAUAUUGUUGUGGUCAUGAAAAUGGAGCUUUCCCCCUUGUUCUAAUUAGUGCCAAGGAUGCAGGAAAAGCAACCCCACCAUGUCCCCUGCCCUCACACAGGCAGGGGCCCUUGAGGCUUGGGGAUGGGGCUAGGAGAUUUCUACCAAGGUUUUCCCCACUCUUUUUAGCAUAUGUGCUCCAACUUUUAAAUUUCUGUAGAGUGGUUCCCCCUCACAGUCACCACCUGGGUCGCUACAUUAAAACAAGCCAGAGAAGAGGAUGUCCUGGAUGUAAUGAGUGUAUGUGUCUUUAUUCUGAACUGAUAGUACUUAGUGACACUUAUGGAUAUGAUUCAGAAUUGUUCUAUUUAUAACUUCAUGGAGAAUGUUUUGUAUUAUGCUGCUGUCUCCUCCCAUUUCCCCUCCUCCUCUUCUUCUUCCUCCUUCUCCUCUUAUUCUUCCUCUCCUUUCUCCCCUUCUCCCUCUUCUCAUCCUCACUGUGCAGAAUCAUGGCAGAACCUAUACCUCUCAUCCUUGGCCCCUUUAAAGCAAUUCUUUGGAAUUGGACCCAGGGCCUUCUACAUGCUAAGCAAGUGCAACACCAAUCUCAGCCUUUAAUUAAAAUAGCCAAGAAGAUGGUUGCUACUUUAAAAACGUAUAUUUAUUUUAGGAUCACUGUUUUAGGGUACUCGCAUGUUUGUGUGCAUGUGCACCUGUGGGCACUUGUGCAAAUAUGUGCAUGCGUGUCCCAGAUUGUAUGUGGACAUCAGAAGACAGCUUUGCAGAGUUUGUCUCUUCUCUCAGCUUUGCAUGGGGUACAGGAUGGAAGUCAGCUCUGGCAAAUGCCUUCACCCAUGGACCUUUCUUAUUGGCCUUUUGAAUAUGCUGCUAGGUUAGGAGGGCAUGUUUCUGUUAUUAAUGGUUAAUUUUCCAGGUUCACCUUUCUUCUCUUCAUUGAGUUCUGAUUCUCUACUUAAAGGGGCUCUUCAUUGGGGCCAAUUUUCUUUUCUUUUUAAUGAUUUAAUUUUAGUAUGUAUCUUAGUUAAGGUUUCUAUUGCUGCAACAAAACACCAUGACGAAAACCAACAAACCAACCAACCAACGA